UACGAAGGGGGCUAGCGUUGCUCGGAAUCGCUGGGCGUAAAGCGCACGUAGGCGGAUCUUUAAGUCAGGGGUGAAAUCCUGGAGCUCAACUCCAGAACUGCCUUUGAUACUGGGGAUCUCGAGUCCGGGAGAGGUGAGUGGAACUGCGAGUGUAGAGGUGAAAUUCGUAGAUAUUCGCAAGAACACCAGUGGCGAAGGCGGCUCACUGGCCCGGUACUGACGCUGAGGUGCGAAAGCGUGGGGAGCAAACAGG
rnacentral:rRNA from 1 species